UACAGAGGGGGCAAGCGUUGUUCGGAAUUACUGGGCGUAAAGGGCGCGUAGGCGGCCUGCUAAGUCGAACGUGAAAUCCCCCGGGCUCAACCCGGGGAACUGCGUCCGAUACUGACAGGCUUGAAUCCGGGGAGAGGGAUGUGGAAUUCCAGGUGUAGCGGUGAAAUGCGUAGAUAUCUGGAGGAACACCGGUGGCGAAGGCGGCAUCCUGGACCGGUAUUGACACUCAGGUGCGGACAGCGUGGGGAGCAAACAGG
rnacentral:rRNA from 1 species